ACGGGAAGUCCCUCCCCGACGGCUGCGCCACAUCCCGGGAGGCUGUAGCUCUGCGGGUCCGUGCUGGGCGCGAUGGCGGACUGGGCUCGGGGUGAGCAUUGGGGAGCGGAGGCAGGUGGCGGCGGUGCUGGAACCGAUGCCGCUGCCUGCAGGAGUCGCUUUCGCCCGCCCCCGCCUCUCUGGGUGGCUUUGGCCGGCAGACACUGAGAACAGGCGGAGCCAGGGCGGCGUGGGUGGGGCCCUCGGGCGGUCUUGCCCGGCUUCUCGGUGAAGCUGCGGGGUCCGGAUGUCCGCUGUCCCCACCCCUUCCGCCCUCGUGAGACUGUUCUGCACGGGACCUCAGCCAGACGGGCUGGUCGACUGUUCCGGAGGCCAGCCCCAAGGAGUGAGGGCUGCGCGUGAUGGCCCAAGAAGGCCUCGUACCGACUGGGACUGGGAGUGGCCCACUUGCCCUCUGGGAACCCCUGUUCUUAUCUGCGAAGUGGGAUGCUGAUGCUUGUUUCCGCUGGGCUUGCGGCAUUUACAGAUUUAAUGGAUGAAAGCGGUUGGUAGGAUGCUAACAUCUCGUGGCAUCUUUACACAUCCAUGAUUUCUAGGGUUGUGAUCCUAUUAGAUGAGCCUCCCUGAGACAUCUGGCCCACGGCAAAUCUGGCCUGUGAACUUGGGGAGGCAGUUCUCAUCUACUUGAUAGGAUGGUUAUACCAAGUCAAGUCAUAAGUCCCAGCCCCUGUCCUGGGCCAGGUCUCAGCAACCACUGCUCUGGGUGUUGUGUAAGGCUCUGUGUAGGAUGCAGAGCUGAGCAGAUCUAUGCCCUGCUCGUGAGAUCGACCUCCCCUUCUGUUCAUGACUUUUUCCUAAGUCCUUGCCAGAGUUUACUGGUUUUCUCUGAGAACAGGUCCCCUCUACGUCGCUGGUGACAUCUGGGCUGACAUACCAGUCCAUCCAGAGGGGAUGGUACAGGUUUUGUCACAGAGUAUCAGAAGGUGCUGCCCACCCAUCCGGGCUUGGAUGCCUACACAGAACAAGUGCUCUCGCACGCUGUCCUUCACGCGGCUGUCUCGUGUGUGAAGUUCACGCUUUGGACCCUGGGUUAGGGCAGGACCUGUUCAGCAGACACAGGAAAGCCCAGUCCCCCUGGACUAGAUGGAAUUGGAGUGAGAGCCCUGAGGGCAGAGGUCAAGAGGGUGCGCGUGGGUGGGUGCACACUCUCACCCCCUCUCUGUCUCUUCUCACAGCUCAGAGCCCCGGCGCUGUGGAGGAGAUUCUAGACCGGGAGAACAAGCGGAUGGCGGACACCUUGGCCUCCAAGGUCACCAGGCUCAAGUCGCUGGCCUUGGACAUUGAUAGGGAUGUGGAGGACCAGAACCGGUACCUGGACGGCAUGGACUCGGAUUUCACGAGUGUGACGGGCCUCCUCACGGGGAGUGUGAAGCGCUUUUCCACAAUGGCGAGAUCUGGGCGAGACAACCGGAAGCUUCUCUGUGGUGUGGCCAUGGGCCUGAUCGUGGUCUUCUUCAUCCUCUCCUACCUCCUGUCAAGGGCAAGGACGUGAGCCAGUGGGAACUGGUUUCUGUAGGUACCUGGGACAACCAGGGUCUUCCUCUGCCUUGUGUCCUGGGCUCCAGAAGAUCUACCUACAAAAUACCCCUUCGAAGUGAUGAGCAUGGCUUAGGAAUCUUUUUCCUGUGUGGCUGGGAGCCUCUGACCCAGUAAGCUCAUGUUAGCUGGUCCCAUGUGUGCAAGGGGCCCAUCCCCAUUGGGUAACCAAGGCCCAGCUUCCUCUGCCAUCUUGGGUGCUAGAAGCCCUAGCAGAGCCAGGUUGGAGCAGAGCAGCUGGGAAUCCUGGACGUGACCACCUGUGACCAGCAGCCCUUCCCCCAGCCCUCAGGGUUCUGAUGUAUUGAGGCUUCUCUGCUUGGUCUUGGUCUGGAUAAGGCCACGUCUGGUAUUCGAGGUGCCCAGAGCCGACACAGGAAGGGGUGCGACUGUGAACCUCGAAUCAUUGCUGUCACUUUCAGCCAAGGGUCCUCAAACCAGAGAUGGCCGUUGCUCCUGGCCAGGGCUGCCGGGCACUGGUGGACCAGCAAGAGUCAAGGGUCCUGCCGAGAGGUGUCUGCCUGCCGUCCAACCCCAUGGCUGGAGCCCGACCCUCAGGGAAGGGCAGUGGCCAUGCGUGGAGAAGUGAACUGCAGCAUUGGCUGAAGACGCGGGCCCAGGUCCUCCUGGUCUCCCUGUGUCCAGGAGCAGAAACUGACCUUUUCUCAGGAUUCAGGGUCUGUCCAGCACCGAGACACGUUUCCAGGAGCCCAGAUCUCUAGAAAGAGGCUCAUCUGGCAUGUCAGAGUCAGGCAGGGUGUGAGCAGGGGCCUCUGUGGGUACAGCCUGGAGGCUUCCAGGUAACAGCUUUUCAUAGGAUCUGUAGGUCGCUUUUUGAGGGUCCGCGGACAGUUUCCACCGAGUCUGGCCCUUCCACCUACAGUAUCUGCCUAUCUCUCCUUGGGCCCUCAGUGCCCACUGGUCAGUCUCCUGCUCACACAAGGUGAACUGCAGUUUCUUCCAAACCAAUGGGUCUUUCUACCCCACUGUGAGAUCUCAGUGUCUUCCCAUGAAAACACCUGUAAGAAACGAGUCAUCAGCUCUGUCCUUCCCGUCUUUUGUUCCAGUUCUCUGUCUUCCUGGUCACUCCCCUUCACUCUCUGAGGGCUACCGGCUCACCGGCCAUCUUCACACAUACACAUGUGGUCAUAUGUCAGCCACAGCCUGUGCCUCUCGACUCCUGCCACCCCACCCUGCUCUGGUCUCUGGCCCUGGGCACCUCACCUUCUGGCCCUGCUGCUCCUGCUCCUCCUCUCUCUCUCCUUUGUUCUCCACCGAGCAGGCCUGGCUUGUCUCACACUCACCGUAAUGCCCUUCUCUUUUCCACUGCGCCUGGUUGGGCCUCAGCCUUCUGGAAGGGGAGCGUGCUACCUUCUCAUUUCCGAGUGCUCUGUUCUUACUGCCUCCAUCCCUCCAGUGUGUGCUUGUUUCUCACUCGGUGAGGUCCGCUUCCUUGCCUCCAUGGCUUCGACUCAGCCGUCAGCUCAUCUCAUGUUGAAAUUUGUCACAGGGACGUGCCUACUGUUCAUGAAGCUCAGCAGCUGCUGCCGUGUCGUGUUUCCAUCGGGUCACCACAGGCACGGCAGACACAUCAGACCUGAGUGUGGCAGCCGCCUGUUCUGGGCCUGCUAACCUGGCUUCCUGAGAAUAUGGCUCAGCCAUGGCUGUUGCUCCCCCCAGGAUGCUCUUACCUGCUGUGCCCACUCGUCUUGCCAGUGCAGACCAGGAAUUGAGGAUUUGCCUUUCAGAAUGACUGUCUCAAGAAGUGCUCUGCCCCCUCCGAGACCUCUGGUUGCUGUGUUCUCUCCUUGGGUCCCCACCUCUGCCUCCCCACUUCAUUUCCAUGGCUCUUGGCAGCUCUUCCAGCUAUUUUGGGGUCUGGGUUUUUGUCUCUGUCUGGUUUACUUUUUUGUUGCAUUAGGCUGAGUUCCUGAAUGCUGCUGCCACCACGUCGGCAGGGUUUUCUGUGGGGCCUGCACCCUUCUGCUCAGCCCUGUGCACUCAGCACCUCCUCCUGUGGAUAAGUGGGGUUUGCUAAGUGGCCCUUCAGACUAAAACAGAAGAGGCCUUGGAGUCCUCUGUGCCAAGGGAGGGCCCCAAGUCAAGGACAAGGCAUUUGGUCAUAAAAACUUGGAAUAAACAGAUUCUCGA
rnacentral:lncRNA from 1 species